ensembl:lncRNA
AGACCUCCGGAGGAGUUGGCAGGAUCAGGAGUGACUGCACGAAGCUCAGGAGUGGGGCUUGCGGGGCAAGGGAGGCGGUCAUCUUGAAGUUGUGGCUCUGAGAAGUCCUCCAAUGAAGAUACACAAAGACCAGUAAAAUGAAGAUACACAAAGACAAGUAAACUGAAGACUGAGGAAUUCAAGAACCACCUAAGGAAAGGGAACUUUCUCCUAAGCAUGAUGAGAAACUGUGGAAGGUUUUAAGCUGACAACUGCCAUGAUCAAAUUUGCCAGCGGACCAUUGUUAAUGUUCUGAGCAUAAGAAAACCAGGUUUCUACUUUGCUCAUCAAAUAUGGGGCCUUCCAUCUUGGGACAAACAGCCAGUUUGGUUGAGAACCAAUCUGCUGUUGUUAUCAUCAAGUGUGGUUUAUUAUAGGGUCUUUGUAUAAACAUAGACUCUAAUCAUGGUAGUGUCCGUUUUGUUAAGAUUGAAAGCAGUGGCUAAUAAUUUAUUGUAAUGGGAUCUAAACUAAUGAGCUCCACUUACAAUGAAAAUGUUUGAGAAAGCUCUAUUUUCUCCUGAGUCUCCCCAGGAGGCCCAGCUCUGGCAGAAGUGGUACCAUGCAGCCACCAGGCAGAUUGCUCAUCGACUAUGUCAAGUGUCAGAAGAUUGGGCCAUCUUUUUAAACUGCUUUUUUUUAAAAAAAAAAAAAAAAAAGAGGGAGAGGGGAAAAUACCAGCAUCCAUUUCCAUAAAUUAUUGAAUAUGAAUUUAACAUCAUCUCAUUGGAGAAGUGCUGAAAUUGCACGUGCUAAUUGGUGAGACACAGAAGCAGUGGUGGGACUGCAGAGAGCAGAACAGUUGUUGUUCUGGAGCCCAUGGUGGGCAAAGUGAAGGGCCCUGCAGGUAGGGGCAGCCACGCUGAUCCAAAUGGAUCUCAGCCAAGAAGGGCACCUGGAAUUAUGCUAGAAUGUUACUCUGUUAGCUCCUUUAACCCUCAAAGCACUCUUGGGGACCCUUGUCACCUUUCCUCAGGUAGGAAACUAAGUCGCUGAGAGGUUGAAUGACCUCCCAGAGGUAACAUGGCUAAUAG